CGGCCCGGAGGCCCAACGACCGCCGCCCCGCUUGGCGCCAAAAGGGGAGGGUGGCAGGGUGGACUCGAACCUGGGCCACAGCAGUGAGGGUGCUGAAUCUGAACCCUAAGACCCCCCCCAGAGGAACGAGCAAGUGGAAGGACGUGGAAGCUGAAGGAAAAAAAGCAGCACAUGACAGAGAUGGCUGUAUUAAAGCCCUGGGCGGGGAGGAAUAUUAAUGAAUUUUCAGAAUACUUGAAGAUGCACCACUAGUAACCUAACUAGCUGUGCAAAUUACUUCUAAUUCCACACAGGGCAUGGAAAUGUUUCGCUGGUCUCCGUAAUUCUUCCUCCUGUGUGGUGUCGUCUGUGUGGUGUGGUCACAUUAAACAACAUCAGCAUUA